rnacentral:rRNA from 1 species
GAUACCCUGGUAGUCCACGCCGUAAACGAUGUUCACUCGCUGUUUGCGAUACACAGUAAGCGGCUUAGCGAAAGCAUUAAGUGAACCACCUGGGGAGUACGAUCGCAAGGUUGAAACUCAAAGGAAUUGACGGGGGCCCGCACAAGCGGAGGAACAUGUGGUUUAAUUCGAUGAUACGCGAGGAACCUUACCUGGGCUUAAAUGUAGAGUGCAUGCGGUGGAAACACCCUUCCCUUCGGGGCUCUCUGCAAGGUGCUGCAUGGUUGUCGUCAGCUCGUGCCGUGAGGUGUCGGGUUAAGUCCCAUAACGAGCGCAACCCUUACCGUUAGUUGCCAGCAGGUUAAGCUGGGGACUCUGGCGGGACUGCCACCGUAAGGUGAGAGGAGGGUGGGGAUGACGUCAAAUCAGCACGGCCCUUAUGUCCAGGGCUACACACGUGUUACAAUGGCCGGUACAGAGGGCAGCUACUCCGCGAGGAGAUGCUAAUCUUUAAAGCCGGUCUCAGUUCGGAUUGGAGUCUGCAACCCGACUCCAUGAAGUUGGAUUCGCUAGUAAUCGCGCAUCAGCCAUGGCGCGGUGAAUACGUUCCCGGGCCUUGUACACACCGCCCGUCAAACCAUGGGAGCUGGGGGUGCCUGAAGUCUGUGACCGCGAGGAGCGGCCUAGGGUAAAACCAGUGACUGGGGUUAAGUCGUAACAAGGUAACCAAU